GUCGAGGGGUUUUAUCUUCGGAUAGAGAGACCGGCGCACGGGUGCGUAACGCGUACGCAAUCUACCUUUUACAGAGGGAUAGCCCAGAGAAAUUUGGAUUAAUACCUCAUAGUAUGCAGAGUUGGCAUCAACACUGCAUUAAAGUCACAACGGUAAAAGAUGAGCAUGCGUCCCAUUAGCUAGUUGGUAAGGUAACGGCUUACCAAGGCUACGAUGGGUAGGGGUCCUGAGAGGGAGAUCCCCCACACUGGUACUGAGACACGGACCAGACUCCUACGGGAGGCAGCAGUGAGGAAUAUUGGACAAUGGGCGCAAGCCUGAUCCAGCCAUGCCGCGUGCAGGAUGACGGUCCUAUGGAUUGUAAACUGCUUUUAUACGAGAAGAAACACUGCUUCGUGAAGCAGCUUGACGGUAUCGUAAGAAUAAGGAUCGGCUAACUCCGUGCCAGCAGCCGCGGUAAUACGGAGGAUCCAAGCGUUAUCCGGAAUCAUUGGGUUUAAAGGGUCCGUAGGCGGUUUAAUAAGUCAGUGGUGAAAGCCCAUCGCUCAACGGUGGAACGGCCAUUGAUACUGUUAAACUUGAAUUAUUAGGAAGUAACUAGAAUAUGUAGUGUAGCGGUGAAAUGCUUAGAGAUUACAUGGAAUACCAAUUGCGAAGGCAGGUUACUACUAAUGGAUUGACGCUGAUGGACGAAAGCGUGGGUAGCGAACAGGAUUAGAUACCCUGGUAGUCCACGCCGUAAACGAUGGAUACUAGCUGUUGGAAGCAAUUUCAGUGGCUAAGCGAAAGUG
rnacentral:rRNA from 1 species